UACGUAGGGCGCAAGCGUUGUCCGGAAUUAUUGGGCGUAAAGAGCUCGUAGGCGGUCUGUCGCGUCCGUUGUGAAAACUCGAGGCUCAACCUCGGGCUUGCAGUGGAUACGGGCAGGCUUGAGUUCGGUAGGGGAGACUGGAAUUCCUGGUGUAGCGGUGAAAUGCGCAGAGUAUCAGGAGGAACACCGGUGGCGAAGGCGGGUCUCUGGGCCGAUGACUGACGCUGAGGAGCGAAAGCGUGGGGAGCGAACAGG
rnacentral:rRNA from 1 species